CCUCGAGCGCUGCUGUUUCAAAUCAGACCUGCAGCGCCACUGCGGCGGCGGCUGGCGAAAUGUCCCUGUUCCAUCCGCACAGCCGCGCCUAGCCGCAGCAGGUGGACGAUGGCCCCUAGCAACGCAAGCGUGUGUACACGGCGAAAACAGUCGACCUCUAUCUACUGUUGCGUGUGCGGAUGUCAUAACAGCUACAAGAACACGGCAGGGAAACUGCCGAAGGUGCAGUUUUAUCACUUUCCUUGGAAAUCGUACGAGGCUGAUCGGCGACAACGUUGGAUCGCUGCCGUUCGGCGCACCCGCCCGAAUGGAGAUUUGUGGCAGCCAGUGCAACGCAGGACAGUCAUCUGCAGCGCUCACUUUGUCGGUAACAAAGCGAGCACGAUUGCCGGCCAUCCCGCCUAUGUGCCAACUGUGUUUCCGCCGUGUUACAAAAGAAGUGAUGCAGUACUACCGGCAUCAAAGCUCGACAGAUAUAAGAGGGUUCAGCGACGUCGCGCAGUGCUUCAAGCGCCGACAUCCAAGAGCGCAAUCACGGCGACUGCAGAGAACUCCUCGACUGACUUCGCCGACGAAAUCAUUGCAUUACCGGAAGAAACGGGCACAUCCGCAUCCG